rnacentral:rRNA from 1 species
GACGAACGCUGGCGGCGUGCUUAACACAUGCAAGUCGAACGGUGACGGAGAGCUUGCUCUCCUGAUCAGUGGCGAACGGGUGAGUAACACGUGGGCAACCUGCCCCAGACUUCGGGAUAACGCUUCGAAAGAGGUGCUAAUACCGGAUACGAGCUCCUUGGGCAUCCUUGGAGUUGGAAAGUUUUUCGGUCUGGGAUGGGCCCCGCGGCCUAUCAGCUAGUUGGUGAGGUAACGGCUCACCAAGGCGACGACGGGUAGCCGGCCUGAGAGGGCGACCGGCCACACUGGGACUGAGACACGGCCCAGACUCCUACGGGAGGCAGCAGUGGGGAAUAUUGCGCAAUGGGCGAAAGCCUGACGCAGCAACGCCGCGUGAGGGAUGAAGGCCUUC